rnacentral:rRNA from 1 species
UCCUCCUAAAGAGUAACGGAGGAGCACGAAGGUUGGCUAAUCCUGGUCGGACAUCAGGAGGUUAGUGCAAUGGCAUAAGCCAGCUUGACUGCGAGCGUGACGGCGCGAGCAGGUGCGAAAGCAGGUCAUAGUGAUCCGGUGGUUCUGAAUGGAAGGGCCAUCGCUCAACGGAUAAAAGGUACUCCGGGGAUAACAGGCUGAUACCGCCCAAGAGUUCAUAUCGACGGCGGUGUUUGGCACCUCGAUGUCGGCUCAUCACAUCCUGGGGCUGAAGUAGGUCCCAAGGGUAUGGCUGUUCGCCAUUUAAAGUGGUACGCGAGCUGGGUUUAGAACGUCGUGAGACAGUUCGGUCCCUAUCUGCCGUGGGCGCUGGAGAACUGAGGGGGGCUGCUCCUAGUACGAGAGGACCGGAGUGGACGCAUCACUGGUGUUCGGGUUGUCAUGCCAAUGGCACUGCCCGGUAGCUAAAUGCGGAAGAGAUAAGUGCUGAAAGCAUCUAA